rnacentral:rRNA from 1 species
CAGCCGCCGCGGUAAUUCCGGCGGCCCGAGUGGCGGCCACUCUUAUUGGGCUUAAAGCGUCCGUAGCCGGGUUGGUUAGUCUCCCGGGAAAUCUGGCCGCUUAACGGUCAGAAUUCCGGGAGAUACUGCCAGCCUAGGGACCGGGAGAGGCCGAGGGUAUUCCCGGAGUAGGGGUGAAAUCCUAUAAUCCCGGGAGGACCACCUGUGGCGAAGGCGCUCGGCUGGAACGGGUCCGACGGUGAGGGACGAAGGCCAGGGGAGCAAACCGGAUUAGAUACCCGGGUAGUCCUGGCUGUAAACGAUGCGGACUUUGUGUCGGACAAGCUAUGAGCUUGUCCGGUGCCGGAGGGAAACCGUUAAGUCCGCCGCCUGGGGAGUACGGCCGCAAGGCUGAAACUUAAAGGAAUUGGCGGG